CCCCGGGGUAGUAUUUGUCGAUCCUGCAUGGCAGACCACUCGCGAACAAGUUAACAACUCCAGGCAACGGACAAUGCAGCUAAUACCUCGCAUUUGGCCGUAGCCUGACAUUGUCGUGGCAUUCGUCACGAUGAUUAACAAACCCCCGGCGCGAGAAGCGCCAAGGAAUACAUUAACAAGGGCCUUAACCAUCCUCUCCCGUUCGCGGGGAUUAGGGGCUUGGAGAUGGCUUCUUUCUAAAUUACAACGACUCUCGGCAACGGAUAUCUCGGCUCUCGCAUCGAUGAAGAACGUAGCGAAAUGCGAUACUUGGUGUGAAUUGCAGAAUCCCGUGAACCAUCGAGUCUUUGAACGCAAGUUGCGCCUGAAGCCAUUAGGCUAAAGGCACGUCUGCCUGGGCGUCACGCAUCUCGUCACUCUAUCCCCAACUCCGGUGGAUUGGGUGGAUUGUGACCUCCUGUUCCCUCGGGUGUAGUUGGUCGAAAUUUGAGUCCGGAGCUUAGGACUUCACGACAAGUGGUGGUUGUAUAACAACUCGCGUCAUGCCGUGUGCCGAACCUUCGUGCCUCCUAAGACCCUAAGGUGCGUGUUUUCCAUACAAUUUGUAGGGAUGCUCGUGCUACGAUUGCGACCCCAGGUCAGGCGGGAUUACCCGCUGAAUUUAAGCAUAUCAAUAAGCCGGAGGAAA
rnacentral:rRNA from 1 species